UGGCUCCUUCUUCCUCUUCCAUCCCAGUGGCGAGCGCCCGCCGCCGCCGCCACUCCACUAGCCACUCAUCCGAGCUCUCCUCCCCAUCCCUCCCAGUGCCUUGACCUGCACCUGUGCCGCGGCCGCUAAAAAAACGCACACGCACGCACCUGUGUCACCACCGUCCAGCACACAUCCUCUCGCGGACGCGGCCACCGGCCUCCCCACGACUAACCACCAACUGCCUACCCUGCGGCUCGGGCGCCUCCCACCACGCCCCUCCUCUCCAACCACAGGUGCCAUCCCACGAUCCAAAGUUUCCCUCGCCGUCAGCUCCGGACGGAGCCGCCGCCAUGGGUGGGCAUCUCCUUCUAUAAGAUCCUCCUAUCUCGACAGUUUCGAUCCAUUUUUACACGCCCGUCUUUCAUGGAUUCGUGGUCACAAGCGCGAGCUGUGGAGGACGAAGCAAUCGAGCAUGACGAAGUUUGUGUAGCGGCUGGCUCGUGCACUUUCUUGGCUUCGGGGUAAAGCAGUCUAAAGUUUAUCAACCAGGUGGUGAUGAUUGCAGAAUUCCGGUCCUUGAGUGUGUCUACAAGUGGAUUCAGGUCCUGGAAAGAUUGGGAGUGAUCUUAGUGCCAGAAAGUAACAGCCUUAGGGGUGCAGGGUGGACCAGUGGAGCAGUUUGUAAACAGUAAGCCCCUUCCAGUGAAAUUGAUAGCUUCGUGGCCAGCAAGUUUUUCUUGUGAUGGUAGGACUGAUUGCUCUACCUACACAUACCAUUUUUGAUACAAUAUUAGAUCUUAUUCCAUCUACAUUGUUCUCUAUUUCCAGAAGGGUGUAUGAUGCGGUGUUUCCUUCAUAUGAAAUCAUUUGUAGUUUGCACAAACUUAACUUGCAUUUACUUAUUCUUAAAUUUUUAUUAUGUGUACCUGAUGUCUUUUGCACAUUUUGAUUAUUUGAUUUUGAGAGAUUCUCAAGGUUAGUAUAGCCAUUACUGAUGCAGUGAUGUGGACUUUGUAGCUUCUUGGGAUUUUCUCAGCUAGUCGCCCGGGUCAUGUGACAUUGUGGCACUUGUGCGAGUAGGGGCUGCUACUUAUUUCAGUUGCUUGUGAAGAUUUGAGGAGGCACCAAGUUUGAUUUUUUUAUACUGGCUACUGUAUACAUAAUCAAUGUUGCAUUAUGGCCAUUUUGUUCCAUUAUUGAUUUCAAACGAAUAUUUUGAUGCUAACACACACACUCAUCCCCCUGGCUGUCACCAUUGUAGCUAUAUAGAUGGUCUAGCUAAGGUUUUUGGUUCCUAUUUACCAGUGAUGUUUGGUAUGAACAGUGACGGAGCGUGAUGAGAAACUAGGGGGUGGAAAUUUUCAAACUAAAUGAGAAAUAUGCAUGAAAAGUGAAAAA